rnacentral:lncRNA from 1 species
UGGGUUAUGUACUAUUAAAAUUAAUCUCAUCUCUUUCUUUUUGCUUUUUUAAUGUGGCUAGUAGAAAAGUCUAAAAUUACAUAUGCAAUUUUAAUGUCAUAUUUAGUUGACAUUUCUGUUGGCGAGUGCUGCAUGAGACUUCUGUCCAUUUCUAUUUCCUUCUAUAGAGGGUGUCCCAGGCAGCGUGGGGAAGGGCAGCAGGAAGGCACACAGUCUUGGGAACUAGAAGUUUUGGCAUACUGAGUCUGCAGUGCCUGUGGCAGCUGGAGCAAUGAGGUGGAUGCUGGGAAAUCCGAGUGUGCUGAGAGGACUGAGCUGGAGACAGAGCUUAGGAAAUCCUGGCCCUGUGCAAAGAAGAUAGAGAAUAGAGCAGACAGCCGAAGAGAACACUAUAGGGACAGCACUUAAGGACUGAGUCUUUGAAGUGCACCUAUUGAAAUAGAAACUGAAAGGACACUAUGUGGAGCCUCAGGAAGGGAGAGUUCAAGAAGGAGAAAAUGGUUGGCGAUACCUGAACGUGACCUUAGAUACUUCUCCUGUCUCUUAGUUUCCAGAUUUAACAAAGUCACCAAAUUGUUUUCCUCAAUUCAUUCCUCAGAACCACACUGUUUAAAGCUUUCCAUGUAUCUGCUUCCUCGCACGAGACUGCCCUUGUCAUCCCAAGGUCUGACACAGUGCCUGACAUUCAGAAGGUGCGCAAUAAUUAUAUACAGACCUGAACUGCUCUCUCAGUAGAUGAGUUUGAAUUUGGAAUUUAAUAGACUAAGACUGAACAAAGACAGUGAUAAUGUCAGCUAAGGAGUAACGUAAACAGAGUUAGUGGCCACAUGGGCAGAUCUGAGAGCUGCCUUGCUAUGACUGUGUUCAGAUCCUUACUGGUCCUACCUAGGUGGCGGCCUUCAGAGAGGAAGGCUACCCUGUGAUAACACUCGCUCAUGCUCUCAGUUCAUCCAAACGACUUUUCAGCUCUAGAGUUCUGUUCCCUUUCUCUGGAAUGUGAUGACCAGCACGGUCUCACUUUGCUGUACUAAAAACCAUUACCUUGAUGGAUAUAAAGAAAAUUAUAAGUCAUUUUUGGUAUAUGAAGAAACUUCAAAUGUUUCUCUCGUUAGGACUCUUUAACAAGAUGUGGAAAAAUAAGGAGGUACACAGGAAGAGUUAACCUUCAAACCUACAGUUCCAAAUACCCCAUGAUUUGGAAUGCUUACUUAUAAAUCAGCUCUGGGUUCCUCGCCUGGAGAGGCCAAGAUGGCAGAAAGUCUGAAACCAUGAUAAAGCUUCCAAAGCAGCCUAACCAAAGACCCUUUAUCAUAGAAUCAUUUAAAAUAGACACAUAGUAGCUUCCCAACUCUCUCUAGUUCAAUGUACUUUCUUCCUUUACCAAAAACGUUCUGAUUUUUUACUCAAAAAAGUAAGUGGCAUGAAUGGAAAGGACAGGAAAGCAUCCAUUUUCACCUGCUUAGCUGUUCCUCAUUGUUCCAACACCUCCAGCUCACACCUUCUUUCAGAGUCUGCACUAUCUGGCCAUUCGGAAGUAGGCCCUCUUGACCUACAGCUGCUCCCUCUUGGCUCUUCCCUCAGCCUUCCCCUAGAAGCUGGAUGGAGGGUGCAGGAAGCUAGAAGAGGUCAGGGGAAGGCAGACAAGGCAAAGCAGUCUUGCAGAGCAGUCUGCUUGGCUGAGCUGACAAGGGAAAGGCUCAGGACUCUGGUGGUCUGGGAUGAGUCAGCCGAGACAGAAAUGUCCUCUGAUGUUGCUCCUUCUACCCCACACUGCCUCUGCCUCCUGCAUCCCGCCCUUCUCUCUGCUGGCUCGCGCUCCUCCUCCAAGCUGAGGACCACAUCUUCUGUUUCCACUUAGUAUUUGCCACUGGGCACAGGGGCACUUAAGGAGUAUAACCUUUGAGGAUGAAGCCUGAGAGAUGCAGAGAGGAGCCUCAACCCAUUUUGCUAAAGCUCUAUUCUGACAAUUUGGGCAAGAUAAUAAAGGCGGGGGCCGGGGAAAGCCAGGGGCACCCUGGAACCCAAGGACAAGCUGGAGUGGAUAGUUAGCUGGUAUGCAUCAAUACAGCACAAAGGAGUCUCAGAACUGGUCACUCCCCAUGCCAUACUCAUUGUUUAAUCUUUAUCAAACUACCCUUACUUAUGGCCACGGUAGUGUGGACUCUAAUACAUUCGCUAGGAAUCCGUAAGUGCUGCUGCCAAAGGCGCCUAAGAAAGCAGAACUUUUGCCAGAUGCCAGGAUCUCCUCUGCAGCCAUCUGUGCUUCAACUCUAAACUCAUGGCUCUUCCCUGAAAUCAUCCCAUCCUGGGCCAAAGGUAAGUCCAGUUUCGCAUAGCUCUAGGAGCCAGCUCGGAGAGAGCAAGACCUUCAGGAGUUCAACCAAACACUGAAGACCUUGAUCUCCAUCUAGAAAAGACUUACGGUCUAGUGGACAGAUACACUGAAAAUGUAUGAAAUGAACUUAAGGAAAAACACUGGGCUGUUUCAAAUAAAGCACUCAGUUCCCAAUAAAGAUGGCAGAUGGAACACAAAUAUUUAACUUCCACUCCCUCACUGAAACCCCCCUAUUGUAAAGGGUCUUUUUUGGGGGGGGUCAUUAUUAUUUUCAAAUUUAAACUGUAAGAAAAGAGACUAUUAUAGCAACAAAAAUUUGAAAACUAGAAAGCAAAAACCCACUGUUAAUUUGGAAAAAACAUUAAGAAACAAAACUUGAGGAGUUCCCAUCAUAGCUCAGUGGUUAACAAACCCAACUAGUAUCCAUGAGGAGGAGAAUUUCAUCCCUGGCCUUGCUCAGUGGGUUAAGGAUCUGGCAUAGCUGUGGCUAUGGUGUAGGCCAGCAGCUAUGGCUCUGGUUCAACCCCUAGCCUGGGAACCUCCGUAUACCACGGAUGAGGCCCUAAAAAGACAGAAGCCAAAAAAAAGAAAGAAACAAAACUUGAAUUAUGGAAAGCCAAGCAGCAAUACAGUUUAUCCUGCAUAACCCCUAAAAUUUCAGGAACUGGAAGAGUUAGGACCAGAGGUGGGGCCCUAAACAGAAAAGUCAGUUGAAAGUCUGUUUAAGAAAUAAAUAUCCAAGGAGUUCCCUUAGUGGCUCAGCAAUUAACGAACCUGACGAGGAUCCAUGAGGUUGUGGGUUUGAUCCCUGCCCUCACUCAUGGGUUAACGAUCCGGCGUUGCCGUGAGCUGUGGUGUAGGUUGCAGACACGGCUCGGAUCACGUGUUGCUGUGGCUCUGGCGUAGACCGGUGGCUACAGCUCCAAUUCGACCCCUAGCCUGGGAACCUCCAUAUGCCGUGGGAGCGGCCCAAGAAAUAGCAACGACAACAACAAAAGACAAAAAAAAUAAAAAAAUAAAUUUCUGUUUAUCCCCUGAGGCCCACUGGUCAUUAUGCCAGACACAAAACCAGGAGGAACAUUCUCAUUUUAAUUAUAAAAAAUCUGUACGUAGCCACAACACUCAUAAAAUCCCC